GGGGAUGUAGUUCAAUGGCAGAACUCCUGCUUCCCAAGCAGGUAGCGCGGGUUCGAUUCCCGUCAUCCCCU
rnacentral:tRNA from 1 species